GCCAAACUUCUUCAACAUACUAAUGAACCUUUCGCAAUAUGGGGGAUUCCACUCCAUGGUUUUAAAUAUCAAUUGUUUCAGACCGAUUCAACUGAUUCCAUUACACUGUUUUCGAUUCUGUUAUUUAAUACCUAAUCUGCUAAGAGUUUUGAAAAAUUCACAGGAUUGGCAGCUGAUUCAGUCUGAUUUCAUUACCCUGUUUCCAAUUCCGAAACCAACUCCUAUUCUGUUAUUUGAAGCCCUGUUCCAGUCAAGGACUAGAAAAAAACAUGUGCUGUAAACUCGUUCAUAAAAGAACAUAUGCACCAGGAUAUGAUAUGCCAGUUUUUAAUUUGAUUUCAUAUGAUUUUAAUUUUUUAAUUAUUGGUUUUAUGCUUAUAAAGCCCAUUAACCAAAUCCUUGUUUAUCACCAAAUUUUCAUUGUUUAAAUUAGGAAAAUAAUUGCUAUUCUUUAAGGGAAAAAAUUUAAAAGAUGCCUAUUUGACGUAUUUCUUUAAUGAAAAUUAUGCAGUGGAAAAACCACUCAACAGUAUCCAAAAUUUUCCUACACUGACUUAAUGGAAUCUAUUAUUUAUCAACACAGGCUCAUUCUGUAUUGUAGCAUUAAUUGCGUAAAUGAUCUUUUAUUUUAAACUAUUUGAGUUUGUUUCUAUAUUAUUUUUGUCAUAGAAGUGUGGUGAUUGUAUAAUUUCUUGUAUUAUUGUUUACUUCAUCAAAUUUCCCAUGUGCAGACUAAUAGAAUAUCAAAGAACA
rnacentral:misc_RNA from 1 species